rnacentral:lncRNA from 1 species
CUUUCGAUCCUCACAGGUCACACCAGCGCUAUUUUAAUUCUCAAGCUUUAAUUUAUUAAAAAUUUUCACUUAAAUAUUCUCAAUUAUUCUAAUUAAAUUCCACAAUGUAUUUUAAUUGAGAGUCCAGCUACUAUACUAUCGAUAAUACCAAAUACUUGAUGUUAUCUAGUUUUUUGCUGUUACAUCUAUAUUUUUUAUUAUUUUUAUCUAUUAGAUCAUACUAUUUAACCAAUCAUCCCGUCAACCCUAGAAGACUACUAUUAUCCUAACUGCACGCCGAAAACUUAAUAGUACAAAUGACCUAGUGCUAUUAAUAGUACAAUAGCCUAGUUCU